CCCCAGUAAGUUAAUAUGAGAACAGGUCCCAGUGCUAGCAGGGACUGAAAGACUCAUUUACAACAUGAAAAUGGGAUAGGCACUAUAAUAAACAAAACACUUCCACAAAGGAAGAGUUGGGAAUCGUUCCCAUAUAAUGUCCGAGGGACAAAAGAAAAAAAUGAUGAGGAAAAUAGGUGAUCACAUACUAUUUACAUAACAGUUGAUAACGUGUAUACAAAAGAUGGCGUUUUUAUACAUUAACAAAAAGGCUGACGGAAAUGAGUUAGCAGGAGAUGACGUCAAAACUGGCAGACGGAUACAAUGUCAUCAAAAGGAACUGGAAGUGAUGUGUGGAGGAAGUGACGGGAAGUAUUGCCAUUGACUGGAGCUGGAAGUGACGUCAUCAGAGGGUGCCGGAAGUGACGUUUGGCGGCAAUCUUGGGAACCCGGAAGUAUGGAGAAAGACCCGAAGUCAUCUGGAGAGGACAUACUCAGUGAAGGAACUGGAAAUUAACUGGAAACAGAGUCUACCCAGGGAAGUCAAAACUAAACAUUAUAGACACAUUAUAAAAGGAUAAGCAAGAUGGAAAGCAACCCAUUCACUUAUGGAUAUGUAUGUAGAAAGACCUCUUCCAUACAUAAGCUGAAAUUGCUUUAAGAGGUAUCUCAGCCCUGUUAAUUGUGGAAGUCUUCUAUGUCACAAGAAGAGAACAAAAUAGGGCUAACAGACACCCUGAAAACUUGUUGAGGUCAAAAGCCUAAAGGAGUACUCUUAACACAGAACUUUACUGAAAUUUUAAAUAGUUUGAGGCUCUCUGAUCCUCAACAGAAUGGUUAUUUUCUUGUGCUUUCUACUUUUUUGUGAUUUAAUGAAAGUUUUUUGGACUUUGGGAUAAGAAACAUCUUUACAUUAUGGUUGAUUGCAUACACCCUAUGGGUGCUUGACAGUGAAGCGGUAGCACAGAUACUGAACCUUUGGUUCUAAUCUCACUUUGGUCACAGUUGUCAUGAUUUGCGGGCUUUUGACCCUGAAGAAUUUAAUACUGUGCUAAUUUUUCUAACUGAACAUUAUUGUCAUGUUAUUAUUUUUAUAAUUUUCAACAUGUUAUUGUGUUACUAUUUUUUUUUUUCUUGAUUCUCAACAUGCACCUUGCUGUUUGGUUUGUGUUUGAUGGGUGCAGCAAACGUUUGUUAACAAUGAUGCCCCAGAAUUUUGCAAAGAUUGUAUAUAAGAUUGAAUUGUACAAUUACAAUGAAUUAAAAUGUAAUUAAGGA